AGAUUGAACGCUGGCGGCAGGCCUAACACAUGCAAGUCGAGCGGCAGCACGGGUACUUGUACCUGGUGGCGAGCGGCGGACGGGUGAGUAAUGCCUAGGAAUCUGCCUGGUAGUGGGGGAUAACGCUCGGAAACGGACGCUAAUACCGCAUACGUCCUACGGGAGAAAGCAGGGGACCUUCGGGCCUUGCGCUAUCAGAUGAGCCUAGGUCGGAUUAGCUAGUUGGUGGGGUAAUGGCUCACCAAGGCGACGAUCCGUAACUGGUCUGAGAGGAUGAUCAGUCACACUGGAACUGAGACACGUCCAGACUCCUACGGGAGCAGCAGUGGGGAAUAGUU
rnacentral:rRNA from 1 species